UCAGACGAUGCGUCAUGCAUAUCAAUAAGCGGAGGAAAAGAAACUAACUAGGAUUCCCUCAGUAACGGCGAGUGAAGCGGGAAGAGCUCAAAUUUGAAAUCUUCAAGGUUCUACCUUGACGAAUUGUAGUUUAAAGAAGUGUUUUUCUGUUAGGAGUUUUCGGUAAAAGUUCUUUGGAAUAGGACAUCAUAGAGGGUGAGAAUCCCGUAUUUGACCAUUAUUUCCAGCUUUGUGAUACACUUUCAAAGAGUCGGAUUGUUUGGGAAUGCAGUCCAAAAUGGGUGGUAAAUUUCAUCUAAAGCUAAAUAUUGGCGAGAGACCGAUAGCGAACAAGUACCGUGAGGGAAAGAUGAAAAGAACUUUGAAAAGAGAGUUAAACAGUACGUGAAAUUGUCAAAAGGGAAGCGUUUGACACCAGUGUUGUUUUCUCGAAAAUCAAUUAAAAAAGGCAGGAUUUUGUGUUGUAUUGACUUUAUCAGCUUUCUGCACUCUUUUCUUGUCUUUUUUUAAUGCACUUUUCGUUUAACAAGUCAACAUCAAUUUCUUUUGUUGUAAAAGGGUCAUUGGAAGGUGGCUUUCUUUUCGGAGAAAGUGUUUAUAGCCUUUGGCCUCUGCAAUCGGAGAGAUUGAGGUCUGCAGCGUAGAUCCUUCGGGGUUAGAUACAUUUGUGCUAAGUUAUAGCCUUUCAUAGACAACUUGUUGACUAUGAUCAGUCAUGUAGCUUACUCGCUUAUGCUAUUUUACCUACGCUUAGGAUGUUGAUCUACAGAGCGAGAGU
rnacentral:rRNA from 1 species